rnacentral:sRNA from 1 species
UUAUCAAGAAUGAGGAAUGGUGCAGUAUUCUAGUCAGUCCUCCGUUCCUGAAGGCGGGCCUAAAAAUCCGCCAAAGGGCACAUCGAUGAAGUUCCUUGUGUUGGCUUGAGGCGCCCAGCCUUGGGUCGAUGCUGGGAGUUAAGGUUUUCGGGCGAUCCACAAAGGCAUGUGGGCGUUGACCCGAUUACCGCGGAGGCCCAUCUCUGUCGUGACUGCUAAGCCUAGGAGUCAUUAUGGAAUGGGGUAUGAACCUGCUUAAUUGGGUAAGGGACACCUUGUUAGCAGCGUAGCCUGCCUUGAGUGGUGUCUGAGGGGAUUAGAGUCUUAAAUAUGAGUACUGGUGGCCACAGAACUUAUAUUUUUAUCUCUAUGAAAUCAGCACUGCAAAAGAGGCUAGGGAACGGCUAAAGACUGUUGAGGAAAACUCCUAGACUGUUCUUGGACAUUUAAAAGGGAUUAUAGUGUGGACUAAGUGGUAAUCCAGUCUGGCUAAUGGCGACAUAGCUAAGAUGGGUUUAAAGGGGAACCUCCUUUUAUGGCAACAUAGGGUACCCAUCUGGGAAAACCUACUGGACCUAAGCCGCAGUUUUUACCUUUUAAAUGACCAUUCCUUCUUACAUAAUA